rnacentral:lncRNA from 1 species
GCCAUGAGAGAAGUCUUGAACAUGUCCAAGGCUCUCUUGCCCUAUGGUAUGAUCCUUACUGUUAUUUUCAGAGAGUCAGGAGUCAGUUUUGAGGGAGAGAUUAUUUGUAGACUGUCAUAUACUGACACCUAUAACAACCACUCUCUUAGGCGCAUGGGUUUUGUGAGAGUUGAUGACCGGUGGGCCAAGGGUCGAGCUGCAGCU